rnacentral:misc_RNA from 1 species
UCCGAGUUGACCCCGGCAGUCUCCUAUGAGUUCCCACCAUUACGUGCUGGCAACAUAGAACGAGGGUUGCGCUCGUUGCGGGACUUAACCCAACAUCUCACGACACGAGCUGACGACAACCAUGCACCACCUGUAUACCUGCCUUGCGGGGAGACUGUUUCCAGCCUUUUCAGGUAUAUGUCAAGCCUUGGUAAGGUUCUUCGCGUCGCAUCGAAUUAAUCCGCAUGCUCCGCCGCUUGUGCGGGCCCCCGUCAAUUCCUUUGAGUUUUAGCCUUGCGGCCGUACUCCCCAGGCGGGGAACUUAAUGCGUUAGCGUCGACACGGAAUCCGUGGAAUGGACCCCACAUCUAGUUCCCAACGUUUACGGCGUGGACUAC